rnacentral:rRNA from 1 species
UACGUAGGGCGCAAGCGUUAUCCGGAAUUAUUGGGCGUAAAGAGCUCGUAGGCGGUUCGUCGCGUCGGCUGUGAAAACCUGAGGCUCAACCUCAGGCCUGCAGUCGAUACGGGCGGACUUGAGUACUGCAGGGGAGACUGGAAUCCUGGUGUAGCGGUGGAAUGCGCAGAUAUCAGGAGGAACACCGGUGGCGAAGGCGGGUCUCCUGGGCAGUAACUGACGCUGGAGGAGCGAAAGCGUGGGGAGCGAACAGG